GAUGAAGAACGCAGCGAAAUGCGAUAAGUAAUGUGAAUUGCAGAAUUCAGUGAAUCAUCGAAUCUUUGAACGCACAUUGCGCCCGCCAGUAUUCUGGCGGGCAUGCCUGUUCGAGCGUCAUUACAACCCUCAGGCCCCCGGGCCUGGCGUUGGGAUCGGCGGAGCCCCCCGUGGGCACACGCCGUCCCCCAAAUGCAGUGGCGGUCCCGCCGCAGCUUCCAUCGCGUAGUAGCUAACACCUCGCGACUGGAGAGCGGCGCGGCCACGCCGUAAAACACCCAACUCUUCUGAAGUUGACCUCGAAUCAGGUAGGAAUACCCGCUGAACUUAAGCAUAUCAAUAAGCGGAGGA
rnacentral:misc_RNA from 1 species